rnacentral:rRNA from 1 species
GGAAGUAAAAAAGCGUAACAAGGUUUCCGUAGGUGAACCUGCGGAAGGAUCAUUACCGAGUUUUCGAGCUUCGGCUCGACUCUCCCACCCUUUGUGAACGUACCUCUGUUGCUUUGGCGGCUUCGGCCGCCAAAGGACCUCAAACUCCAGUCAGUAAACGCAGACGUCUGAUAAACAAGUUAAUAAACUAAAACUUUCAACAACGGAUCUCUUGGUUCUGGCAUCGAUGAAGAACGCAGCGAAAUGCGAUAAGUAAUGUGAAUUGCAGAAUUCAGUGAAUCAUCGAAUCUUUGAACGCACAUUGCGCCCCUUGGUAUUCCGGGGGGCAUGCCUGUUCGAGCGUCAUUACAACCCUCAAGCUCUGCUUGGAAUUGGGCACCGUCCUCACUGCGGACGCGCCUCAAAGACCUCGGCGGUGGCUGUUCAGCCCUCAAGCGUAGUAGAAUACACCUCGCUUUGGAGCGGUUGGCGUCGCCCGCCGGACGAACCUUCUGAACUUUUCUCAAGGUGACCUCGGAUCAGGUAGGAUACCCCAAC